UACGUAGGUGGCAAGCGUUGUCCGGAAUUAUUGGGCGUAAAGCGCGCGCAGGCGGUCCUUUAAGUCUGAUGUGAAAGCCCACGGCUCAACCGUGGAGGGUCAUUGGAAACUGGGGGACUUGAGUGCAGGAGAGAAGAGUGGAAUUCCACGUGUAGCGGUGAAAUGCGUAGAGAUGUGGAGGAACACCAGUGGCGAAGGCGGCUCUUUGGUCUGCAACUGACGCUGAGGCGCGAAAGCGUGGGGAGCAAACAGG
rnacentral:rRNA from 1 species